UACGGAGGGUGCUAGCGUUGUUCGGAAUCACUGGGCGUAAAGCGCGUGUAGGCGGCCCAUUAAGUCUGAUGUGAAAGCCCGGGGCUCACCCCCGGAAGUGCAUUGGAAACUGAUGGGCUGGAGUCCCGGAGAGGAGGGUGGAAUUCCUGGUGUAGCGGUGAAAUGCGUAGAUAUCAGGAGGAACACCGGUGGCGAAGGCGGCCCUCUGGACGGUGACUGACAUUGAGGGACGAAAGCUAGGGGAGCGAAUGGG
rnacentral:rRNA from 1 species